UGAACAAAUUCUCCAACUAUUCAUCAUAUCCUUAUAAUAUCCUCAUCCUGAUAGACAAUAAAGGAAGAAAAUAAAUUGAGAACCCUUUACGCCUUUAUGCUUCGAUUUUCUUGUUUUAUGUUAAUCAAAUGUCGGCGAAAUGAAUUGCAACUGAGAAGAAGAAAUCACCAUAUAUAAUGGAAGAAGGUGCCCAUGCAGCCAAUAUCUUUAGGUCCCAAUCUGAUACUAACAUAGGGCUUUCUUCAUCAGCUAAUUCGGUUGUUGCACUAGCACAAAAGAGGCAAUUGGCGCAUACUUCAUUAUAUUUGCAUGGUUUGGAUCAGUUGAAAUGAAUAGGCUAUUUGAUGAUGAGAGCAUAACGUCUCCAGGGAUAAGCAUGACAUGGGGAGCAGUUGCGAUGGUGAUGAUUUACUCAUUGGGACAAGUAUCAGGAGGUCAUUUUAAUCCUGCUGUUACAAUCACUUUCACUAUCUUCCAUCGCUUCCCAUGGAAAUUAGCACCUCUGUACAUAAUAGCUCAACUAAUCGGCUCAGUUCUGGCAUUCGGUACUUUAGCGCUACUGUUGGAUGUGAAUCUCAAAGAUUAUUUUGAAUAUUUUCCUAAAUUGGGUUGAAAAAUAACCCAAGUUUCAAUAUUUGGGUUGGAAAAAAGUAAGUCUUCAAUUAAUUGGUGAUCCCCACAACAUGGGGUGUAUAAUAUGG